rnacentral:rRNA from 1 species
UACGGGGGGGGCAAGCGUUGUUCGGAAUUACUGGGCGUAAAGGGCGCGUAGGCGGCCCGCUAAGUCAGACGUGAAAUCCCUCGGCUCAACCGGGGAACUGCGUCUGAUACUGGCAGGCUUGAAUCCGGGAGAGGGAUGUGGAAUUCCAGGUGUAGCGGUGAAAUGCGUAGAUAUCUGGAGGAACACCGGUGGCGAAGGCGGCAUCCUGGACCGGUAUUGACGCUGAGGCUCGAAAGCCAGGGGAGCAAACGGG